UACCAGCACCCCGAGUGGUCGGGACGAUUAUUGGGCCUAAAGCAUCCGUAGCUUGUUCUGCAAGUCCUCCGUUAAAUCCACCUGCUCAACAGAUGGGCUGCGGGGGAUACUACAGGGCUAGGAGGCGGGAGAGGCAAACGGUACUCAGUGGGUAGGGGUAAAAUCCUCUGAUCCAUAGAAGACCACCAGUGGCGAAGGCGGCUUGCCAGAACGCGCUCGACGGUGAGGGAUGAAAGCUGGGGGAGCAAACCGG
rnacentral:rRNA from 1 species